AAUCAUGCUAUGCAUGUUCAUAUGGCAGGUUUGCAGAUUCAACUGUUUUGGUGAGAUCCUGAUUGACUGGUAUCACUGCAUAAAGUUGUUUUCUGGAUAUUGCUUUUACCAUGUGACCUAUGUCUGGAACAUCAUUAGGACCUUACAACCAGACAAUAUUUCUAGAUCAUCACAGAGCUUAUUUACUCUAGAUUGGAUUUAUCUGGAAUCUAAGAGAUUUACAAUGGGG